UUGACACACCUGGAGACUGAAACCCUAUAUUUAUCCACAGAACAAGUACAGAAUAGCAGUGACAGUGGAAGCCCACCCACAUGGAUUUGCCAACAGGCCUCAACCUUGACCUGGAGGGACCACAUCUAGUGAUGAGAAGAUUGUUCAGUUUUUAUGCCCAUUCAGUCCUUUGUUCUC
ensembl:misc_RNA